rnacentral:rRNA from 1 species
GCCAAGGGAACGGGCUUGGCAGAAUCAGCGGGGAAAGAAGACCCUGUUGAGUUUGACUCUAGUCUGACUUUGUGAAAUGGCGUGAGAGGUGUAGCUAAGUGGGAGCCCUGCGACCUUGAAAAACCACUACUCUUGAUGUCAUUUUACUUAUCUCGUUAGGUUGAAGCCCUCCGGGGUUCUAGUCUUACGUUCAACGCGGGAGACAGAGUCAGGUGGGGAGUUUGGCUGGGGCGGCACAUCUGUUAAACGGUAACACAGGUGUCCUAUGGCGA